AUGUUCUCUGUAGCUCUGCUGCUGCUGUUGGCAGCUGGAUGUGUAAAGUGUGAAACGCUGACUCAGCCAGCCUCUGUGACUGUGCAGCCAGGUCAACGUCUGACCAUCACCUGUCAGGUCUCUUAUUCUGUUAGCAGCGAAACUACAGCUUGGAUCAGACAGCCUGCAGGGAAAGGACUGGAGUGGAUGAGUAGUGACACCAACGUCAAAGAUUCACUGAAGAACAAGUUCAGUAUUGAUGAAGACUCUUCCAGCAACACAGUGACUCUAAAUGGACAGAAUGUGCAGCCUGAAGACACUGCUGUGUAUUACUGUGCC